AUACUUACCUGGCAGGGGAGAUACCAUGAUCACGAAGGAGGUUUUCCCAGGGCGAGGCUUAUCCAUUGCACUCCGGAUGUUCUGACCCCUGUGAUUUCCCCAAAUGUGGGAAACUCGACUGCAUAAUUCGUGGUAGUGGGGGCCUGCGUUCGCGCUUUCCCCUG
ensembl:snRNA U1 U1 spliceosomal RNA